rnacentral:rRNA from 1 species
GAGAUUCCCCCAGUAGCGGCGAGCGAACGGGGAGCAGCCCAGAGCCUGAAUCAGUGUGUGUGUUAGUGGAAGCGUCUGGAAAGGCGCGCGAUACAGGGUGACAGCCCCGUACACAAAAAUGCACAUGCUGUGAGCUCGAUGAGUAGGGCGGGACACGUGGUAUCCUGUCUGAAUAUGGGGGGACCAUCCUCCAAGGCUAAAUACUCCUGACUGACCGAUAGUGAACCAGUACCGUGAGGGAAAGGCGAAAAGAA